UGUUUGAUGUGCUGAAAUGUCUAUGUUAUUUUUUACAUUCUUUGAUUGGGAGGUAACUUGCACUACUAUGAACAUCUCAUUCGUGGUGUGACUGUAGCACAUUUUGCAUCAGAAAACAACUAUUUUCUUGAUUUACAUGUAUGUCAUUGCUUAACACAGGCAUAAUAGAAAAACUUGGUCUAAGUUUAUCCACAAGGAGGGAGGCAGAGCAGAGACAAACGACACAUUCCGUCAUGCAUGUGUGUGGAUUUGUAUCAUCCUACUACUGUCUCGCUUUGUUUUACAGUAAUAAAUAAAGAGAUGAAUCAGAUUUUCUUUGGUCCGUUAGCAAAAUUUUACACAUCAAGUAUUUUAUCUCAGAUCUUGUAUUUUGGUUUGGUAUAUGAGCUUUUGGCCCAUAGACUAACAUGUCCCUUAACCUGUCUGCUUGGUAAUACUUUUCUGUAUCAGCAAGUAGUUACGGGUUGAACAACCAAUUACUGAUUACGCCUUAUCUCAAUGCAUACAACUUUCUAUGAGUACCUGGUUUGCUGCAGCCCUUUGCGCGGGGGCUAGGAGAGGGAGGACAGUCCUCAGCCCCUCAAGUUGAAAAAUCAAAACAACACCCUUUAGAGUUAGUAAACAUGGUGGCUGAUCUAUUUGCUGUCUUGAGAGUACCUAUGGCUACAAGCAUAUAACUUUUUUAUUGCAUUCCCCAAUAUUUCGAUACAUAUUUUGUUCAUUUUGUAUUCAUACCUUUAUUAGUGUCCAAUAGGAAGGAAGAUGCAUGAACACAUCAUGUCUCCAACCGGCUUAGAUCAUAGGAAACUAUGGCACAAUGCACUGCAGAAUUUUCUUAUUAGAGCUCACUGAAAACACAUGUUCUCACCUACGGUAAUGCGUUUUGGUUACACUAGGAAUUAUUUCAUUAUUGAAAGCUUUCAUGUGCAUAUAUGGUCGUAAGGGGAUGUGUAUUUAUUUAUCUUCUAGCUUCAUUCAUUGUAUUGGUUUAUUUGUUUUGCACAGAAACCCAUCAAUGGUAUGCUUUGAUGGGGCUUAUUUAAUACAGUACAAGCAAAAUUGGAAGUAGUAGCAAAUCAGCCAUGAAAAUUUUGAGAGAACUAUGCAAAUCACAAGAAAUGACAUGCUCUCGUCAGUUUGCCAUGAUCUUGUGGCCCAGUUCCAAGACUAUGGACUAAUGUUAGCUACUAUGGGUUUCAAGCUUAAUUCUACUUUUCUCUUGGUCAGAACUUAGUCUCCCAACAAUAAAUAGUAUUCGGCCUUCUUACCUGCUUCAUUUUGAUCCUAAAAUCCAGUUCCACCCCCUUCUAUCCAAUACCGCGGAGAGCUUGAGAAGUACUGUCACUGGGGCAAUGAAGUGAAGCUCUAUCGACACGAUGCAAACAAAGCUCUCAAGCACAUGAAGAGCAUCGACAGUAAAGUGCUGCGGGACAUAAGCUACGACAAGAUGCAGCUACUCCAACAAAAGUGUGAAACUCUUAAGCAUCAGCAGAAAGAAAAGGACAACCUAAUAGACUAUUUUAGCAACAGCUGGAGCCAUAGCCUCAGUGGAGAUCACAUGGCAGCAAAGGAGCUUUACCGUAUAAUAGAUAGCAACUUCACGGCUGGAUCAACAUGCAAAGACAAUGAUCUGAAUCAUAUAUUGUUGCAGGACGUUCCCGCUGAUGCUGUUGUUCAUGUCGUCCCCCCAGUGCCUAGCAUCACCGGCAACAAGUUCAUCGCUGUUUGAGAAGGUGCCCUGCAGGGACAACCUGACACGGCCAUUGCUCACCCAUGUUCGAAUCUGAAUCGCAGAGGAGAAGGCGCGCAUCAUGCAGUGCGAGAAGACUAGAAGACGGACAACCUCCGUCGACCUGUCAUCGAACUUCACUGCUUGAGGCAGGAGCAGUGACUAGCAUUGACCAGUAGGAGCAAGAAGCAGCGACAGCUACCAUUGCUGGCUGAGCUAGCUGCUAGCUUCGGUUACUUGCGACGGGUUGUGGGCUGCAAGUUAGAAGAAUCGGUGCUGAAAACGUCUUCUGAAUGUUAAAAAGCCAAUGGGGGUAGAAAGCUAUGGAGAUAAUUGAUUUGUUUCCAUAUCUAUCUUUCUGUAUUCAGACUGGGGGGGGGGGAGGUGCUUCAUGCUGAUGGUGUAUAUAAGAUUGGCACAGAUAUGGACUUCAAUGUCAGGUUUUGUGAAGAAGCAUUGCAAGACUCCAUCAGUACAUGGACCCGCGGUAGACUGCAUCCGCAUCGGCGCAUGGGCGAUGUCGACAUUGGACAGUGGCAGAGUGUGCAAAGUCUGCGCUUCUGACGGACCUUCACCACCAACUGCCAUGCUCUCUACCAUCCUUCUCGCUCCUCCCCAUCUCUAUGCCACAGCUCGCAGGCUAGCCCAACCUCUGCUGCCUUCCUUUCUGCCUCACCUCCCCUGAACUAUCUGCGCCGGCGGGACCUUCUUUUGUGAGACAGGAACUUGGGCGUGGUUCAGUCUUUUUUGGGGGGCUCAGUUCAGUCUGUGGUAUGGUUCAGUUUAAUGAAAGAACGAAGAUGACUUGCGUGACCCGCUCCUGUGUGAGAUAGAAAAUUGGGCUUGCAGUCUGGGAUUGCAGAGUUGCAGUUCAGUUAUGGUGUGGUUAAGUUGAGAGUAAAAGAUUCUCUCAAAUAAAAGUUGAGAGCAAAAGAAAGAAAAAGCAAAAGAGAGAGGAUAAGAAAUGUGUGCUAGAGAAAAAAUCCUUCCAUUUUUUUUUACUCCCCACUGCACCUGUGCUUUCAUUAGCUGCGGUUUGGGACUAUCCAAAUUUUUAAGUGUCAUUCUCCUCUCCUAUGUAGUACAAUUUAGUGCUUCUGCCUACUUAUGUAAAGAUACAACUAUUUAGGAGUUUCUGCCAAGUAAAUAGAAGUGCGCUUUUCCUGA